GAUGAACGCUGGCAGAAUGCUUAACACAUCAGCAAUUGAUUGGUGGCGGACGGGUGAGUAACGCGUAAAGAACUUGCCUCACAGCUAGGGACAACAUUUGGAAACGAAUGCUAAUACCUAAUACUGUGAGAGAGCUUUGCGUCCCAUUAGCUAGUUGGAGAGGUAACGGCUCACCAAGGCGAUGAUGGGUAGCCGGCCUGGGAGGGUGAUCGGGCACAAGGGGACUGGGACACCGCCCUUACUGCUACGGGAGGCAGCAGUGGGGAAUAUUGGAAAAUGGACCAAUGUCUGAACCAGGCAUUCUGUGUGCACGAUGAAUUUUUCGGGAGGUAAAGGGCUUUCAGUAUAGAAGCGGUACCAACAGAAGAAGUGACGGCUAAAUACGUGCCAGCAGCCGCGGUAAUUC
rnacentral:rRNA from 1 species